UUUUGCUUUGUUCUUGGAUAAUGUUUCUUAAAGGUUGUGACGACGCACAAUUUUGUAGUAUGUAAGUAGUUAUAAUUGGUAGUUAUAUAAGUACUUAGAAAGGGAGAAAUUAUGAAGUUUUUGUUAUAUAUAUGUUUAAGUUGGUACUAGAAAAGUAACUUGUUUUAUAUUUUUGUAUUUCCAUUAUCAGUUUCUAAGUUAUAUUAUAAGGGGAAAUUAUGAAGUAAUAUUUUAAGUUCGCGACCCACAGUAGCCAACAGCAGAGCAGAGCAAAGAUAACGGCGACGCGAGCCAACAGCAGCAGAUCAGAGCAAAGAGAACGGCGACGUGAGCCAGCAGCCCGGGAGCGGCCAGCAGCAGAGCAGAGCAGAGCCGAGAGCCGGCAGCAGAGCCAAAGAGAUCGACGACGUGAGCCAGCAGACGAGAGCGGCCAGCAGCAGAGCCGAGAGCCGGCAGCAGAGCCAAAGAGAACGACGACGUGAGCCAGCAGCCCGAGAGCGGCCAGAAGCACGAAAGCCACGGGCGUGGGCAGCGACGGCAGCAGCGGCAGCGCAGCCCGGACAAGAGUCCGCGUCUAAGGGCUCGCGAUCGCCAGGCAGAGCUCGCCUCGAGGAGAAAGAUUUGGGCAACCAAGCGGAGAAAUCGCGAUCACUGCGAAAAGUCCCCAAGUCAGUGGGCAGUCACACACGUGGGACGAGGAAACACAAGCACGAGGACAAGGCGCCAGACACAAGGAAGAAGCUCGAGAGGAUCGGGUAAGCGAGGCUGCGUGAUGUAUCCCCUUUUCCAUGGCUUAGAUUGGUGCGAAUAGGUAGGGACGUAGGAAAUGAAAUUUCGACGCUAAGAUAGGAAAAAAACAAGAACUAAGAAAAGAAUAAAGAAAACAAAACUAAACAAUGUGCUCGUGUGUAACAGUGUACAUUUAACCCUUUCCCCCCUCCCAAAGUGCAAGACGGUAAGUGUGGUCGCCCACCGUUGGAGGCUCCGCUGGGCUGGUCGCAGGUCAUUACCGCGCCAGACCGCGGGCUCCCAAACGGCGCGUGCCUGUCUCCGAAACGGGUGCUUCCUAGGUACUACCAGGGGCGGCUACACUGCCAGAAGGUGCCUCCACUAACUCCCGGUGAUCGCCCACCGUUGGAGGCUCCGCUGGGCUGGUCGCAGGUCACUACCGCGCCAGACCGCGGG
rnacentral:lncRNA from 1 species